UCUGCGUAUACGUCACGAUCAUGAUUAGAAUUGAUGAUCGGACGUUCUGAUUUCAUUGUCUGGCUAAAAGGGGACUGCUGAAGAAAUCUGAUGAAUUCGAGCAGUCGUUUGAUUUGACGACAAAAAAAACAGAACCUCAGGGAGACAAAGACGCCGGAACCAUGUCACAGCCUCUGCACCCUGCAGCCCAGGAGACUGAGCUAGCAUGACCAGUACUGCAGCCAGACCACCAUAACCCCCGGACAGACGGACGCACAGAGGUAUCUGCUGUCUGGCUCUGCUGCCUAGACCUCACCCCGGCCUGGCCCUGCUGCCUAGACCUCACCCCGGUCUGGCCCUGCUGCCUAGAUCUCACCCCGGCCUGGCCCUGCUGCCUAGACCUCACCCCGGCCUGGCCCUGCUGCCUAGACCUCACCCCGGCCUGGCCCUGCUGCCUAGACCUCACCCCGGCCUGGCCCUGCUGCCCAGACCUCACCCCGGCCUGGCCCUGCUGCCUAGACCUCACCCCGGCCCGGCCCUGCUGCCUAGACCUCACCCCGGCCCGGCCCUGCUGCCUAGACCUCACCCCGGUCUGGCCCGGCUGCCUAGACCUCACCCCGGUCUGGCCCUGCUGCCUAGACCUCACCCGGCCCUGCUGCCUAGACCUCACCCCGGCCUGGCCCUGCUGCCUAGACCUCACCCCGGUCUGGCCCUUCUCGUGGUUCUGCUGUAUGGCUGAUCUGCCCCCCUGCAGUAGCAGCAGUAUGGAGGAAUGGCAGGAGAAACGAGGCCUGCAGACGAUGAACCUGCGGUCUGUGUUCACAUUGGAGCAGCAGCGAGUCCUGGAGAGCUACUAUGACAACGGGAUGACCAAUCAGAGCAAGAGCUGCUUCCAGCUGAUCCUUCAGUGUGCUCAGGAGACCAAGCUGGACUUCAGUGUGGUGCGGACCUGGGUGGGGAACAAGAGACGGAAGCUGGCCUCGAGGAAUGACCAGAAUGCGGGCGUAUCCCACUCCUUAUCGAAUCACAGCAUGGUUGGGGGAGCUCUGUCCAAUCACGGCGUUGCUGGGGUAGCUCUGUCCAAUCACACACUAGCAGGCGGGGCUUUAGUCGCGGGCGCCAUGCUGACAGCAGAGAUGGCGGCGGCUCGGAACAUCCAGAGAGGCUCCUCCCAUCUCCUCCCUUCCUCCUCCUCCUCUUCUUCUUCCUCUCCGCUUAGCUCUGUCAACAACAACAAUGAUGUCAUCUUGACUGGGAUUUACUCUCUAGGCUCCGCCUCUAGUUCCCGGCCCACUGUUAAGCCCCUCCCUUCUGACUCUGAGCUGCCUGCACAUGUCCAUCAAACUCUGCUUAACCAAUCACAGCACAGGAGUAACAGUUCUGUCUCCUCCCCUCUCCAGCUCCACUCCAGAUUGGGUACCUUGUCACUUCCUCACUAUAAAAACCCCUCCCUCUCCUCUUCCCCCUCCUUCUCCUCACCCCCCUCCUCCUCACCCCCCGGCCCCCCCAUAAACAGCAUGUCCAAGAGGGUGGGUUUCCCCACAAGUGGGGCCAGGGCCGUGGGGGCAGCAGGAGUGGCCGGGGUAGGAGGGGGGGUACCUCGGAGCUGGGCUAGACAGUACGGUUCUCUCCAGUCUGGCCCCUGGCCCUCUCCUUCCCAGCCCCAGACCAGGCCUCAAUCCAACCACCAGACUCUCCCACCUCAUCCCCCCAGGCCCCGUCCCUCCCCCCCUCCUCACCCCAUCCCUCCCCCUUCAGACCACUCCCCCCGCAUUCAUCAGGUCUUCAGCCUAUCAGAGAGGGGGGAAGGGGAGGGAUUAGGACAAGGACAGCCUUCUGAUAGGAGCAGGCUGGAGAAACACAGACAGACUCCCCACCCCUCGGACACUAUUGGUUGCCUCUCUAUCGCCAUGGAGACGGGUGAUGAAGAGGAUGAGUGGCGGAGGGAGGAAGAGUUAUCCAACAUGGCAGCCACGGCCCAUGGGGACCUCCAGAGAGGCCAGGGCGUGAGGGACAGCCCCAGCAGGGGAGAGGGAUCUGGGGAGAGAGUCCUCACAUCCCCCUCACUGGUCCUCAGCAGCUCCAGGCCUGGUCCAUAUCCUCGGGACAGCUACCCAGUUACUACAACACUACAGACCUCCCCUAGUAUACAGGUUCCAGUCAGUCCCUCUGCUCCGUGGCUCAUCAGUAACUCCAGGAAGAGAACUCUACAGGACAGGACCCAGUUCAGUGAUGUGGACCUGGGCCAGUUGAAGCGGUACUGGGACCGAGGGAUGACCAGUCUGGGUUCUGUCUGCAGAGAGAAGAUCAACGCAGCAGCCAAUCAGCUCAACGUAGACACUGAGAUAGUCAAGACGUGGAUCGGGAACCGGAGGAGGAAGUACCGUCUGAUGGGCAUCGAGAUCCCGUCCCCUAAAUGUGGGCCGGCCGUGUUCCUGACAUCACAGGAAGGGGAGGAGUCUCCCUCUGCGCUGAGUUCCGAUGGGGAGGGGCUUGGAACACCAGAGUUGGGAGACAACCUAAACGAUGGAGCGUCCUUCUGUCUAUCCGAGGAUGGGACCAGUGAUUCGUGCCAGAGAGAAGAAGAGAAUGGAGUAGAGGACAGCAGCAGCGCUCCCAUGGCUCACGACGUGGGUUGUGUUUCCUGACAGAAGAUAGAGGUGAUUGAUGAUGAUGAUGAUGAUGAUGGUGUUGAGAUGGUCGGAUCUGAUAUGGAAAACAUGCAGAACCUCCUGGAGUUUAAGCUUGAGGAGGUGCAGUAUCUGGAGAGCCAACUAGAGAAUCAGAAUCAGAGAUAUUAUGAGUUGGAGACCUUCACCAAGAGUCUUCUGACCGCUGUAAGGACCAACAACCUGGACAGACAACAGGAACUUCUAGCCAGUCUACCUCAGCCUGCAGAUCAGGACUGGGACAUGAGUCCAGAGGGAGGAGCCAACCCCAUCUCCAUAACAACAAACUCUGCAUCCAAUCACGAGUCCCCGUUGGCCGGGAGCAAUGACGAGACACCAUUGGUCAACCCCAACAAGGGCCUCCCAUUGGUCACUAUAAACGAAGAUGGUUCAUUGAUUGCUGAGCUCAAUGAGUCGUCUGUAUCAGAGGAACUAGAGACUGAGACCGGACCAGAGUGACUGUACUGACACACACAAACACUCCACACCCUGUGCCUGUGGAAGGAUCCUAAACUAACUGUGCUGGGCUCACAAUGCCUUUUAUAUUACUUAUCACUACGCCUUGUCUGGUCUAGUAUCAGACACAACAAUAAACAGACUCCAUAAUAACUGA